GCCAUCUUUUGAGAGCGACCUCCACGCGGUAGAUGGCGGGCAACGCAGAUUUCUGCGGCUAACACUCUC
rnacentral:ribozyme from 1 species